CCAUCUACACAAGUUCAUCGGCCAUUCUUCAUUGGUCGUGGGUUCGUUCUCCAUUCUCCAUUCUCCGUUCUAUGUGGGUUCGUUCGAAAGUCCAAUUUUCGAUUCUCCGUUCUCGGUGGGUUCCUCCUUUUGCUGCAAAAUUUUUAGGCUAGGCCAUCUCGAUUCUCAUCCUGGGUCUUCUGUUACUCUUCUUGGGCACGUGCUGCUGUUCAUGAUAGAUUUAAACAAAGCAACAAAACAUGUCUCGAUGAUGCUAAAACAGAGGUGACUCGUUAUCUAUAUGAAGCUCGUAUAGAAGAUGAAUGGUUAAACUUGCUAAGUAGCCAAGUAGCCAGGAACAUCUACAAUAUUCCUAUAUCAAUUGUGCCUUCUGAGUCAGCCUUUAGCACCGGAGGACGGGUGUUAGAUUCUUUUCGAACUUCAUUAACUCCUCAAACUGCAGAAGCACUCAUUUGUCUCAGAAUUGGAUUCAAUCUAAACCUUUGGAUGACAUGACUGAAGAAAUUGACGGGACUAAAGAAAUUGACGAAGAAUUUAUAAACAUAGGAAAGGAGAUGGAAGCUGCAUUUGAGAAUCUGAAUCAUGUCUCUGUGGUAUAAAUCCUUACUCUCAAAUCUAUUUACAUUUUUUUGUUUUAAAUUGUUAACAUCUUUGAAUCUUGUUUGUUUAGAAUCUUGAAGAACAAUGAUGUAUAAACUUUAUUCUUCUCUAGUCCCAUCACAGUAAGUUAUUUGCUUACCUUAUAAAUUAUUAUUUUUCUAGAUAGUUCACUAAAUUAGUAUAUUCUUCUCUAUGCAAUAGGGGAGAAGGUGGAAUGUUGGCUAGAUUUGUGCUAAUAGACUAAUAGGUGAAAAGUUGAAUAUUGGAUACCCACGUGGUUCUUUUGUUCUACUCUCAAAUUUGAUCAACAUGGUUCUUUUGUUAUUUUGUUCUACUCUCAAAUUUGAUCCACAUGGUACUUUUGUUCUUUUGUUCUACUCUCAAAUUUGAACCAUCCAAGCUUGUAAAUUAUAACAUACUCCACCAAUUGCACUAUUAUUAUGGUGAUUUUGAUUGUGAUGAA